rnacentral:rRNA from 1 species
UACGUAGGGGGGCUAGCGUUGUCCGGAAUCAUUGGGCGUAAAGAGCGUGUAGGCGGUCCGGUAAGUCCGCUGUGAAAGUCGGGGGCUCAACCCUCGAAUGCCGGUGGAUACUGUCGGGCUAGAGUGCGGAAGAGGCGAGUGGAAUUCCUGGUGUAGCGGUGAAAUGCGCAGAUAUCGGGAGGAACACCUAUGGCGAAGGCAGCUUGCUGGGACGGUACUGACGCUGAGACGCGAAAGCGUGGGGAGCAAACAGG